rfam:Ictidomys tridecemlineatus contig002906, whole genome shotgun sequence.
UAGGGUGUGGCUCAGUGGUAGAGCGCUUGCCUAGCAUGCAUGAGACACUAGGUUCUAUCUCUGGCACCAUGU